AUGAGUUUUUUUAAAUUGCAUUAGCCAACAGUUGAUACAAGGGAUGUGUUUGUGUGUUAACAGGCUAAGAACAAUCACUGUUUUCCAGGAUUUUUAUUUCAAAUCCAAAUAGAAAUCACUUGUGGUUUAGUUUUAUUUAAUUCCAUUCUUAAGCAAAAGACUUUUUUUUUAGUGGCUGAUGAUGAAAGCAAAGUUAUUCGUUGUUCUAAUCUAUUUUUGGUUUUUAAGAAAUAUGAAAAAGGAAGUUGAAAUGGUAAAAAGCAAAGUUUUUUGAGUGGAGAAGAUGUAUGGAAGACUUGUUUGAAUGUGUGAUUAAAUUAGUUCCUAAAAUGCUACUAGAUGUAAUUUCUGGAUUAUUAUUUUAAAGGAAGAUGGAGAAACACCCUGUUAUUUUGUUAGGCAGAAAAGGAAAAACACUUCCCAAGUACAGUAGUGACUCCUUUAUAUUCACACUGCAUUUUGGAAAUGUGUCACCAGUGAAAGCGUCCCCUGACUCGCCUGCAGCCUGAUGCCUGCUGGUAACCCUGAUACAGAACCAUCAUGAGCAGCCUCCAGGCAAGGGGUUCCCACACUUGUGUGCCAAUGGAUCUGGGAGCCUGUGUGGAAAAGUCACCCUAUCCAGUUACUAAGUUACCUUUCAGAUUUGUAAAAGCAUGCUAAUGCUCCUUUUUACAGGAGCACCUCACACAUUAUUUCUCUGGGCUUCCACAUCGCUGUUUCCCACUGUAUAUUAAUGUCAAAUACAUGGAUGAUUUGAGAACACAGGUUGCUUCUGCCUGGGCCUGCACACACAAAAUGGUUGGCAUUUUGUGGCUUUGUCAGUUGUGUCAUGGGAACCUCGAGGUCUAAAAAGAAACAUCAGCUCAAAUUUUCUUCUCUUCCAGUCUCUUAAGCUUGUUUAAAGUGAGUAUUUUACAUAAUGAGCUGUAUACAUAGAUACAAUGCCAGUAAGAUUAACAUGGAAAUAAAAUAAAAUUAAAUUA